rnacentral:lncRNA from 1 species
CUGGCUGCACAAGGGUUAAGUCUGCAUUGGAGUAAGCUGAGCUUCCCCUGCUGGUGGGACAAGGGUUUGCGAAUUUACCUAUGAACUAAUCCUGUUUGAAAGAACCAGCCCUGUCUCCUCCCUACAGAAGACUGCCUGGAUUCCUGAAGGGACCUUUAAAGAAUAAAGCCUGUGGGUUGGACCAGGGGAGGGGAUCUUUGAGGUUCUAGUUACAUUGGACUGGAUGAAAGGUAUUCAAAUAGUUAUUUAAAAAGGAGUCAAAUGGAAUGCGGUGGAGAAACGUAACAUUUUAUUUUAUUUUUUGCUUGUACCAUAUGUAAUCCAGAGGCUUUUCAACAAAAUCGCUACAAUCAGAAAGUAGUUGCGUUUGUUCUUCGAUUUUUACAGACUAGUAACAUAAUU